rnacentral:rRNA from 1 species
AAUGAACGCUGGCGGCGCGCCUAAUACAUGCAAGUCGAGCGAGAAGACGUAGCAAUACGUUUGUAAAGCGGCGAACGGGUGAGGAAUACAUGGGUAACCUACCCUAGAGUGGGGAAUAACUAGCCGAAAGGUUAGCUAAUACCGCGUACGCUCCUUGGACUUCGGUUCAGGGAGGAAAGCGAUGCCGAGGGUAUCGCGCUCUUGGAUGGGCUCAUGUCCUAUCAGCUUGNGGUGAGGUAACGGCUCACCAAGGCUUCGACGGGUAGCUGGUCUGAGAGGACGAUCAGCCACACUGGCACUGCGACACGGGCCAGACUCCUACGGGAGGCAGCAGUAAGGAAUAUUGCGCAAUGGGCGAAAGCCUGACGCAGCGACGCCGCGUGGGGGAU